rnacentral:rRNA from 1 species
AUUGAACGCUGGCGGAAUGCUUUACACAUGCAAGUCGAACGGUAGAGGGGGCAACCCCUCGAGAGUGGCGAACGGGUGAGUAAUAUAUCGGAACGUGCCCAGUCGUGGGGGAUAACGUAGCGAAAGUUACGCUAAUACCGCAUACGAUCUAAGGAUGAAAGCGGGGGAUCGCAAGACCUCGCGCGAUUGGAGCGGCCGAUAUCAGAUUAGGUAGUUGGUGGGGGAAAGGCUCACCAAGCCAACCAUCUGUAGGUGGUCUGAGAGGACGACCAGGCACACUGGAACUGAGACACGAUCCAGACGCCUACGGGAGGCAGCAGUGGGGAAUUUUGGACAAUGGACGAAAGUCUGAUCCAGCCAUUCCGCGUGCAGGAUGAAGGCCCUCGGGUUGUAAACUGCUUUUGUACGGAACGAAAAGGUCUCUCUUAAUACGGGGGACUCAUGACGGUACCGUAAGAAUAAGCACCGGCUAACUACGUGCCAGCCGCCGCAGUAA